AUCCGCCUCGUCCUCCGCCGCUCCUCGCCUCCUCCUCCACCGCUACUCUGCCGCCUCCUCAAUCGCCUCUCGAUUCCACACGCUACUCAGCCGGAAUGAGUCUUGUUGUUAUGCUUAGUAAGUAUUCGGUGGAUCAGUCGGCGGCUGAGAGGUUGAAGAAGAUCUGUUAUGGUUGAUGCCCAGUAAGUGCUUGAUGAAAUUACUCAGUUGGAUAAUAAUAAGAUUUUUAGCAGUUUUGGAUGAUGAAGUAAGUUCAGAUUGACUAUUUGAAGUUUACAAGCAUGAGCUUUUAUGGUAGGAAUAUAAAUGACAGUUGAACUGAGCUGGAUUUAUUUAUUUUGAGCUGUAUACUCUUUAUGUCAAAUCUGGUGGAUUAGCUUAUGAAUUCUGCUGCAAAAUGAUAAUAAUGAAUACUGUUGUCUCAAUUUUUUGUCGGCUUUCUGAAUUCUUUUUCUUUCGUUUAUCUGUAGAUGAAUAAUUAGUCAAGUUAGAAGCCUUCAUAUUUCAUUUUCAGCUUCAAUUCAAGCUUAUUUGCUCUAUCCCUUAUCCUGGUAUUCCACAGCUAUGUUAGAAGCCUUCAUAUUUCAUUUGCAGCUUCUAAUAGUCUCCUUACAUGCUUAAUCUGGGUAAUUUUCUAUCAUUUAUUGAUGUUAUCUUAAUUUUCCAUGAAUGAACACAUUCUGUAUUCAGUCUUUUUCUCACAAUGGCUGCUUACUCGUUUUCAGAUAAAUUCAUCUCUUGAACAUAAUUUUCUUGAAUGCUUGACAUUUUACCUUUAAAUUAUAACUGAUCUUAUAACCAUCUAGUGGAAACUUUCUGUUCACUUCAUGGGCUAUUAUAUGAUCACAUAAUACUGUGGACAUUUCUCCACUUCAGCCAUCCUGCCUUUUGUAAUGGGAGAUGGGUUUUCUCACUCAAGUUGCUAGCACUACUGCCAUACACAGUCCUUAAUCACCACAUUAUAACUGCUAAAUACUCAAUUUCUUUUGAUAAAGUACUUGCUUCUUUUGACGCAACAUGUAAUCUCUAAGGAUCUCAUCCUUUUAUAUAAGCACUAGCCUAUGUGUAUUGAUAUCCAUGAGUUACAAAUGAAGAGUUGGCGUUAAGUACUUUAGGCAGGUUGGGUUGGGUUAGCUGGCACACAUCUUAGCCUAAAUCCAACCUAUCUAAAAUUUGGUCAAGGUUUAAACUGUAUCUUACUAAAAAUGAAAACAUUUGACCUUAAACUCAGGUUAAGUUUGAAUUGUUUCAUGGUCAGGUUUGAUCCAAUCUGCAAAGUUACAGCACUCUGCACGCGAUACUUAGAUUCCAUUCUCUAUAUAGAUAGAUGUACAUAAUGACAGGGUUCAUCAUGGUUGGUCAUGCAGUUGAUAGGAUUGGUCAUGAUUGGUUAUGCGGUUCAUUUGUAUAGUUUUAUUGAAGUUACUAUUUAAAACAUGCAGGAAUAUUUUAUAUACUGGUAUAUAUCAUCUAGCACAUGCGUGAAAUGUUUUUGUCAGAUUAUCAUUGUCAAGGGUAAGGGUUUAGUAUAAAUUUUUAUUUUUUAAACAUAUGACAAUAGAUCAAUAUAUCAAUGUUGGAAGACCCCAUUUCAGGUUGGUAUUAGGCAUUCAAUCUUGAAUGUGGUUUCAUUAUGGAAGUUUCAAAGAGUUUCAGGUCUGAGUUUCUCUUUCAGAAUUUUAGUAAACCUUGUUACAAACAUAGGAUUUCUAGACGUUUUGGGCUCAUGUUUAGAAUUCUGCAGAAUUUAAAGUUAUUUAUAUUCUUGAAAUGUUUUCUCUGUGCUGUAAAUUUAGUAUUGAGUUGCAGGCUACUGAGGCAUUACUUCAUGCUAAUUCGAUCCAAGCAAUUGCCCCAGGACAUCAAAGCUGCAUCAGGACAUCAAAGCUGCAUCAGGUUAAGCAAGCAUUCUGAAAUUAUUUUCAUUUUUAGCAUUUUCAUAUGUACAUUAUAUAUGUGUGUAUUAUCUGAUUGGGAAGAAUUGCUUUUUAGGAAAAAUUUGGCGUUCAAAGUUAGCAUAAAACGAGAAAAGGCAAUUUGAUGAAACUUGUGCAGAUAAUAUCAGUAAUUCAAAAUGUGAUGAGUACAGCAUUCAUGUUCUAUCUACUAGCAUUUGGCCUGUUUGUUCUUAGGGAAGGUGAGGGGAAAGGCAGUCUAUCAAGAAUUUGCUCCAGGUUAUGUUUCCAGUCGAUGGUACUCACAUUGAAACAUGACUCAUAUACUCUUAUAAUUUUCAUCUGUUAUUCUGUUGCUUUCUUUUCCUUCUAUGUAACGAUGAUGCUGCAAUAAAACAAGGUCAGACGGUAUUUAAAUCUAUCUCUUUAUCGGUCUUCUUGAUUACACAUACCCAUGAAUACUUACAUGCACGCAUCCAUCAAUGCAGAUAGAUCUACCAAGGGAGAGACAAUGCAAAGACCGAAAACAUGAACCGGUAUUAUACAUGGAUCGGGUCAUCGAAAAGAUAACCUCAUUUUGGAUAUUAGAGACAAGUAUAUAAUAUUAGAUGCUUUUCAUUGUGAGAUAUUGAGUACAUUGUGUAUGUAUAUGUUUUGUCUCUAAGUAUAUUGAGUAAACAUUGUGUAUGAAUAUAUAACAUUGGAUAUUUAGCAAAGUAUGAGAAUAUUUUGAUUUCAUUGUGA